UUUAAAUUCAAUUCAUAUAAAUCAAAUAUUGCUUUAAUGUUUCAUUAUCAUUUAUAAAUGAUUUAAUAUCAUCAAAAUUAGACAUAUAGGACCAUAGGUCCAACAUAGCCCACUGAAGUUUGGCGAAGGACCAGUUCCAGUUUAGCUCAAGUCCACUUAAGAUACACCUAAUAGGGCACAGGUAUCAAAAAUAACGGUGCGAUAUGUUUUUUACUCUUAAGAAAGUAAAGAGCACUAGUAAAUGAAGGACAUAAUAAAAACUGUUGUUGGAAUUACCUUUCGACUCUAAGAAGAUUAAGAAGUGUUUUGUGUAUCACAGAAGGCUUGAGAGAUUUUUGUCUUUUAAUCUUAGGCAUUCGUAUCUAUAGAUCCUCGCAUAUGUGACCACAACUUCUUAUUUCUUUAGCUUUUGAAAGGGGUUUGAACUUCAUAUCCACCAUCUUAAAUUUAUACUGGGCAACUUAUAAUUCUGGUUGUAGGCAUGGUUUUAUUGGUGGAAUCAAUAAUGGUUUUCUUGGUGUCGUCACAUCUCUGUUUCUAAUUGCAGAAUGUACUGGAAAUCUCCAGACGAGGUAGAAAGCAUGGGUGACCAGCAGGCUAUGUUCAUGCUUUUUCCGUAUGUCCCUUUCAUAAUUAGUCUUGCUUGAUCAAAAGCAGAUUGUUCCUCCAAAUUUGUCCCGUGAUUCAUCUGAUGGUGAUAAACAACGAACAAAGGAGCGUGUUUUGCGAAGCUGAAGAUGAAGGAGACACUGGCCGGUCUAUAGCCAGCGAGGCAGAUGCUUGCCCGUGUCUCCUUCAGAACGAAUCUUGUUUUAUCAAUAGAGAGUUCUUCCUCGGUUCAACAAAGGUAAUUUAUGAUAGCUUUAGUAGGUCUGUUCUUUGGUUAUUUUUAUCACAGGAUUCACUGCCUGGGGUGAUAUGGUAAGGUUUUGUGGUUUUCGUUUGUCCGGGAGGUAUUCAGUUAUUCUCCUUGGUAGGUCAGUAAGGCUACUCUUUCGCAGAGUCAGCACAGGAAAAAAACGUCCCGAACUUGAUUUGGGCCUCUUUCAACAGUAUAGUGGGCUGAAAGGCCGAUUUGGUUCAAUUUAUUUGUACCAUUAAACUUCU